UCCGGCUUAUCACCGGCAGUUUCUUUAGAGUGCUCAACUAAAUGGUAGCAACUAAAGACGAGGGUUGCGCUCGUUGCGGGACUUAACCCAACAUCUCACGACACGAGCUGACGACAGCCAUGCAGCACCUGUGUGUAGGUCCCGUAAGGGAAGGAAUCCAUCUCUGGAAACCGUCCUACCAUGUCAAACGCUGGUAAGGUUCUGCGCGUUGCUUCGAAUUAAACCACAUAAUCCACCGCUUGUGCGGGUCCCCGUCAAUUCCUUUGAGUUUUAACCUUGCGGCCGUACUCCCCAGGCGGGGUGCUUAAUGCGUUAGCUGCGGCACAGAUCGCGUGGAAUACGACCUACACCUAGCACCCACCGUUUACGGCGUGGACUAC
rnacentral:misc_RNA from 1 species